rnacentral:rRNA from 1 species
UACGUAGGGUGCAAGCGUUGUCCGGAAUUAUUGGGCGUAAAGAGCUCGUAGGCGGUUUGUCGCGUCGGGAGUGAAAACACCGGGCUUAACUCGGUGCUUGCUUUCGAUACGGGCAGACUAGAGGUAUGCAGGGGAGAACGGAAUUCCUGGUGUAGCGGUGAAAUGCGCAGAUAUCAGGAGGAACACCGGUGGCGAAGGCGGUUCUCUGGGCAUUACCUGACGCUGAGGAGCAAAAGUGUGGGGAGCGAACAGG